GAGAGUUAAACAGUACGUGAAAUUGUUGAAAGGGAAACGAUUGAAGCCAGUCGUACCUUCGGGUAAUCAGCCUUUCGGGUGCGAUUCUGUGGAGUUUGAGGAGCUUAACACCUUCAUGCUUUGCAUAUUCGUGCUCUUGGGUGUACUUGCCCGUGUGGUUGGUUAACAUCAAUUUUGGUGGUCAUAAAAUGACUGGAGGAAUGUAGCUUCGAUCUCGUAUUGAAGUGUUAUAGCCUUCGGUAGAUGUGAUGAUCGAGAUUGAGGAUUGCAACGGAUACCCUUUGGGGCUACCUGUCUGAUCUCUGAUCGUUGCUCUGGUGUCGAAAGCUUGCUUACGGUUAUCAAAGUCGAUGGUCAAUAGGUUAGAACGGGUUAAAUUCGUUAAGGAUGUUGACGUAAUGGCUUUAAACGA
rnacentral:rRNA from 1 species